rnacentral:rRNA from 1 species
AUGUCGCCCUCCGCCCCGCCCGCGCCCGCCCGCUUCCUCCUCUUCGCCGCGGCCCUCGCGCUGCUCCUCCUCUCCCCAACCCUAGCGGCCUCCGACCCCGCCGCCGAGCCCUGCGCGGCGCCCCUCGACGCCGCACCGCUGGACGGCGGGGGCGGGGGAGAGGUCGCGCUCUGCCCCGUGCGGUGCUUCCGCCCCGACCCCGUCUGCGGCGCCGACGGCGUCACCUACUGGUGCGGCUGCCCGGAGGCCGCCUGCGCCGGCGCGCGGGUGGCGCGGCGCGGCUACUGCGAGGUCGGCGCCGGCUCCGCGCCCGUCUCCGGCCAGGCGCUCCUGCUCGUCCACAUCGUCUGGCUCUUCGUGCUCGGCGCCGCCGUCCUCCUCGGCUUCCUCUGA